rnacentral:lncRNA from 1 species
CCUUGUGAUUUGCCUGCCUCAGCCUCCCAAAGUGCUGGGAUAACAGGCGUGAGCCACCACGCCCAGCUUCAAAAGUUUUCAACAGAGCUCAGAGGUCUUAACCACAGGCACAUCCGAGGAGCAUUUUUGAAAUGGUUUCCAGCUUCCUCAAUAGGAAUGGAAGCCAAACCCGGAACUGAUGGCUCCUUGGAGGAAGUCGAGAGCUGUAAGGAAAGCCAGGAACAGGGGCAAGGGAGAGAUGCAUCCCGAAUGAUCCUGUGCCAAUUCUUUCUGGAAUCUUUGAUGUGAUCUCCGCUGCCCUUUCCAUACUUGACACAGUGAUUGUGGCACCCACUGGUCUAGCUGUGGUCUACAAGGAACCCCCAAAGGGAAGGGCACAGUGAGCAGGGGCAUCGGCCUGAGUGACAAGGAUUGGAGGGGGCAGGUUGGAUGCAGGGAGAGGACUGGCCAAAUGCCAUGUGUCUGGCUUAGACUACCUUGUUCAAAUUGGGCUUCACCAUUUUUGACUUCGUGAUCUGGUACAAGUUAUAUGAAAAUGUGUUGCUCCUUUUCUAGUCUGUAAAAUCAUAAGGAAAUGUGCACUAAUAACUGGGAGACUAUGCAGAUGAAAUGAAACAAGCUGCAUAGAACACAGAGCUCAGAGCCUGGCCUUUAGGAAGCCCUCAGUAAGGGUUCAUGAUGCCAUGGUGUCUGUCAUCAUCCUCUUUAUCCUCAUCAUCACCUUCAUCAUCUUUUUGUUGUUCUGAGGGCAUACUUUAGAGGGACUCAUUCCCUGCUCUCAUGGGUGAGAUGUCUAUGAAGAGGACAACCAGUGGGGGAGGGAAGCAAAAUUUUGAAGAAGAUUCCUGAGAGAGAUCCCCCACCACAACCAAGAACAGAAACUCCACAGUCUGCUGAGCUGACAGUUUGCACAUUGGUCUCCUCCCAUCUGCCCACGGCACUCUCCCGUUUGUCCUGAAGAUGAGGAAACAAACAAGGCUCCCGACCGUCCCUCAGCACUCACUGAACGGCCCUUCCCCUCUGCUGGGCCAUGACCACGGAGAACAGGUCCACUGUCCUCCCUGAGUGGUGCACAUGGGAGGCUCAGACUCCGUCCUCAAGGCUGGUAAGAAGACAGGGUGAGACAUGAGCCUCCUGAUACAGGUGACGGGUGUGGAGCCCACAGGACUGCAACCUCACACUGCAGGGCUGGAGGCACAGACUGAGUAUUUCCUAUUCUAUGGCCUGGGGGGCUCAAGGCACAGAGCUCCUCAUUAGCCAGAGUCGCCCAUGUUCCCCAUGCUCUAAGGAUUUCCUCAUCAUCAUGCAAGAAGAAGAAUAGAAAAAAGGAAGAGGAAGAAACAAAAGGAACUUCUCUCUUAGAUUUAAUUCUGACCUACCAGGAAGAACUGGAUUGUUGAAGCAGAAGUACUGGAGUCUCUGGAGCUAAAACCAAGGAUAAGAACAUUAAGAUUAUCCUGCUGGAGAGAGAGGCCAUGCGGAAGAACCCUGGAAAAUGAGACAGCUCACAGAGCAAGAGGCCAUGUGGAGAAGGCCUAGAAGUAAAAUGCCUCAUGGAACAAGAGGCCACAUGCAGAAGGCCUGGAGGAUGAGACGCCCUGUGAAGUGAGAGGCCACGUGGAGAAGGCCUAGAGGAGGAGACACCUUAUGGAGCAAGAGGCCGAAUGGAGAAGCCCCAGAGGGUUAGACACCUUGUGGAGCAAGAGGUCACACGCAGAAGUCCUGGGAGUGAGAUGCCUCACGAAGCGAGAUGCCUCGUGAAGCGAGAUGCCUCGUGGAGUGAGAGGCCAUGUGGAAGAACCCUGGAACUCAGCGGCUGAUAACACAAAGAUCCCAUGGUGUGAGAGAGGCCUUCAUGAACUUCCCGUCCAGCCCAGCUAGAGCCAAAUGGAGCCAUAUGUGUGACCGCAAGUGACAUCUACAAAAGAACGACCCAGUCACCCUGAGAAUUGUUAGAAAUGCAAAGCACUAAGUUUUGGGGUAGUUUGUUACACAGCAAUAGCUAACUGAUACAGAUGGUUUGAAUUACUUGACUUUAAAGUUCCUUCUUACCCUGAAAGUUUAUGGCUUAGUAAAGUGAAUUAAGCACAUUUGACUGAAACAGAGAGAUGGUGUAGGAAAAGAUCAGAAGGUAAGGGCAGGGCAAGGUGAGGAAGGCUUUCCGUGCCACGAUAAGGAAUUUGAGCUUUAACUGGUAGGUUCUGAAGCUGUCCCAGGAGGAAGUGACAUGAGAAGAUAGUUUUUUAGGAAGACCCACACUGCAGCAGCAUGUAGAUCAGACACGUGGGCACACAGAGCAGAUGUGAGAGAGAAGGAGGCAUGGAGACCUGAUUGCUGAGGCAAAAAGAUGCAGCUGACAAUUAUGGAGCAACAAGCUACUGAAUACAGAAUUGAACAUUCAGUCUUCAAGACACAGAUGUAAGCUGCUUUCUCUGUAUCAGCCUUCUCUGUAUCAACUCUUCAUUUUUUCCAACUAUGAUGUUUUUACUUUCAAAAAUCCAUGGGAGAAUACAUGGUAUGUCGUUAAAAGCCUGGGAUUUGAAAUAAGAAAGCCUUAGCUUUAAACCCCUUCUCUCACCUUCUAGCUGUGUAACUCUGGGCAAGUUACUGAACCUUGCUGUAUCGCAGCUUCUUCAUUUGUAAAAUGGAUAUAAUGAUAUUUGUCUCACAGGAGUAAUGCAAAGAUAAAAACGGAUUAUGUCUCAUGCAUUUACUUUUACUAAAUGGCUAAAUGCUCAAGCAACACAAAUACAUGAUUAUUUCUCUUUCACGUAACAGUCCAGGUUGGGAGUGUCAGGUUGAGGGGUGGAUCUUUUUCACAUCUUCUUGAAAGAAUUCGUGGUAAAAGCUGUCUUCAGUUUAUGCCUUCCAAGGUUCUUUUGGCCAUCGCCAUUCCAGAAAGAAGAGGAGAAGAGAGCAUGAAGGAGCCCGCCUAACAUGUUUUAUCUGGCUUCUCAGAAAUGGCACAUGCUUCUACUUGCAUUCCAUUGGCAAGAACACACGGCACACCAGCUGCCCACGGGGAUAGGGAAUCCCAGCUAGAAUUCCAUCCAAUAGAAGACAGAGGGGAGAGAAGAGCAGGGUAUUGGUAUCCACGCAAUUCAUCCAUUUAUUCCUCAAGCAUGUGUUAAGCGUUUGGCGAUGCUUCACGAUGUUGGACUCUGGACAUUCACAGAAGAUGAACACAUCUCACAAAAGUGACCUCAGACAGGCUGCUCCAAGUCUCCCUGGACCACCUGCGUAGUUCAGCCAUAUUCUACAGUGAGCACUUAGAACAGGACAUGCAGGGGCUACACAGGCAUCAAGGCUGGCUGAUUCCACAGAGCAAGAAUGUCAACAAGGAUCCAGCUUAUUUUUGCCUCUUCACCCCACCAUCUUUUAUGUCAGCCUCGUCCUCAGGGAAGUAGGAUGCAACAGUUCCAGCUGGACACGACAAUACUCACAGGAAGACGAAAGAGACUCUUAUUGCUGCUGUAUCGUGGGAACCUUGUCCCCGAUGCCCAUCAGGGUCAACUAUUUACAUGGGAAGGAAAAACAUACCCCGCAACUACAACCUGAUGUCAGUACCAAGAGCAGUAUGCAAACGACUAUUACGGGCGCUCAGAAGCAUCACAAUGGAAGGGAAGUUGCAGCUGCCUAUACCCACACCCACAUCUUGUCUACCUGCCUGCUGCGUCACAGCCUGGCUGCAUUACUGGGCUCACUUCAGUUCCAAGAAAGCUUCCAGAAAUCAUGGCAGGCACACCUGCAGUGAGCAGAUCUGUGUCUACUUGUCCUUUAAGUGGACACCACUUUUCUGUUCAGAGCACAGAUCAAUGUGUCAGACAGAGCUCUUGGAUGACAAUAUUGUCCUGGCAGGGAUCCAGAGCGGCUGGGGAUAGAGAAUAUUAAAUGGGUCUGGUGCAGAACAGUUGAGGUGUGACUGGAUGUGACAGAGGACAGCACCUCUUUGACAAUGACAUUAUGUGAGUUUGGGUGGGCUCUCAGCUCAGGUUUCAGAUGGCCAGGCAUCUGUUGCUGGCCGCCAUUCUGUUGACAUUUUACAUUUUGUGACCAUAAAUUAACUUUGGAAGAAGUUGAUAGACAAGUAGGUCAUUAUUUGGGUGUUCCUGUGUUUCUCAUAACAUUUUAAAUUCAGUCAGGGCAGAAAAUAUAUAUGUCUUUCCUUUAUACCAUUACCCUAAUCCCUGGCACAUGGUGGGUUUCCUCUUGACUUUAGUGGAACGUGCCUGGACCUUAACAAUCCCAACACCCCACCUUCCCCGCAACCCUGUCUUCUUCCCCAUCUCUCCAGCUGGCUUCCUGCCUUGUUUUCUCCUCACAUAGAUUUAACAGAUGCUCUGAGCCCCGCAGUGCACUUCAGUUCUAUUCUCUGCACUCGCCAUGGCACUUGGCACCAUUAACUGCAGCUCUCUCUGCCUUGACAUCUGCACCCCACUCUCCCCUGUGUGUUUUUUCUUUGGGGGUUUCUUAUCAGGCGCCUCUUCUUUAAAUGCUUGUUUUCCUUUGAGCCCUGUCCAAAGCUCUAGGUUCCAUUUUCCACUUUCUACGUUCUAUCUGGUCCUUCAUUCAAAUUUACAGCUCACAUCUCUGCUUUUGCCUCUAGCCCAGAUCUCUCUCUCUCUCUCUCUCUCUCUCUCUCUCUCUGUCUUUCAAACCUUACACAACUUGAGACAUCUUCACUCACAUAUCCUGCAGGUACACCGAACUCAACAUGGUCAAUACAGGAGACAGUCUCUCACCCCAAAAUGGAAUUUCUCUCUUUUUAAAGGAAACCAGCAUUCAUAAGCCAGAAGCCAAUCUGGAUUUUGUCUGGAAACUCAAGUAUAAGACCUAGCACCACUUGCCAAGGACCUCUGCUUUGCUUUGGUAGGCCAAGGGUCUGGCUCUGUUACCCAGGCUGGAUUGCAGUGG